rnacentral:rRNA from 1 species
CUUCCGUUAAUUGAUUAUGACGUACUUGUACUGAUUGAGAUUUUAACACGAAGUGAGUGGCGAACGGGUGAGUAACACGUGGGUAACCUGCCCAGAAGUAGGGGAUAACACCUGGAAACAGAUGCUAAUACCGUAUAACAGAGAAAACCGCAUGGUUUUCUUUUAAAAGAUGGCUCUGCUAUCACUUCUGGAUGGACCCGCGGCGUAUUAGCUAGUUGGUGAGGCAAAGGCUCACCAAGGCAGUGAUACGUAGCCGACCUGAGAGGGUAAUCGGCCACAUUGGGACUGAGACACGGCCCAGACUCCUACGGGAGGCAGCAGUAGGGAAUCUUCCACAAUGGACGCAAGUCUGAUGGAGCAACGCCGCGUGAGUGAAGAAGGGUUUCGGCUCGUAAAGCUCUGUUGUUAAAGAAGAACGUGGGUAAGAGUAACUGUUUACCCAGUGACGGUAUUUAACCAGAAAGCCACGGCUAACUACGUGCCAGCAGCCGCGGUAAUACGUAGGUGGCAAGCGUUAUCCGGAUUUAUUGGGCGUAAAGCGAGCGCAGGCGGUCUUUUAAGUCUAAUGUGAAAGCCUUCGGCUCAACCGAAGAAGUGCAUUGGAAACUGGGAGACUUGAGUGCAGAAGAGGACAGUGGAACUCCAUGUGUAGCGGUGAAAUGCGUAGAUAUAUGGAAGAACACCAGUGGCGAAGGCGGCUGUCUGGUCUGCAACUGACGCUGAGGCUCGAAAGCAUGGGUAGCGAACAGGAUUAGAUACCCUGGUAGUCCAUGCCGUAAACGAUGAUUACUAAGUGUUGGAGGGUUUCCGCCCUUCAGUGCUGCAGCUAACGCAUUAAGUAAUCCGCCUGGGGAGUACGACCGCAAGGUUGAAACUCAAAAGAAUUGACGGGGGCCCGCACAAGCGGUGGAGCAUGUGGUUUAAUUCGAAGCUACGCGAAGAACCUUACCAGGUCUUGACAUCUUCUGACAGUCUAAGAGAUUAGAGGUUCCCUUCGGGGACAGAAUGACAGGUGGUGCAUGGUUGUCGUCAGCUCGUGUCGUGAGAUGUUGGGUUAAGUCCCGCAACGAGCGCAACCCUUAUUACUAGUUGCCAGCAUUAAGUUGGGCACUCUAGUGAGACUGCCGGUGACAAACCGGAGGAAGGUGGGGACGACGUCAAAUCAUCAUGCCCCUUAUGACCUGGGCUACACACGUGCUACAAUGGAUGGUACAACGAGUCGCGAGACCGCGAGGUUAAGCUAAUCUCUUAAAACCAUUCUCAGUUCGGACUGUAGGCUGCAACUCGCCUACACGAAGUCGGAAUCGCUAGUAAUCGCGGAUCAGCAUGCCGCGGUGAAUACGUUCCCGGGCCUUGUACACACCGCCCGUCACACCAUGAGAGUUUGUAAC